GUUCUUUUCAUCAUCUGAUUGUGAGUGUUAUCGCCUUGUUUAACUUUGUCUUUUUGGUUCCUUCAGGAUGCAAACCAACAACAUUGUCAGAAUGAAGUUCAAGGAAAUAUAUAUUUUCUUCAAAACCUUUUACAUUUGAAAAGUUUUUGGAAUGUGUUUGUCAAUGGUUUGUCUUCCUUCAGUUGC